CCUACGGGUGGCAGCAGUGAGGAAUAUUGGUCAAUGGACGAGAGUCUGAACCAGCCAAGUAGCGUGAAGGAUGACUGCCCUAUGGGUUGUAAACUUCUUUUAUAAAGGAAUAAAACGAGGCACGUGUGCCUUUUUGCAUGUACUUUAUGAAUAAGGAUCGGCUAACUCCGUGCCAGCAGCCGCGGUAAUACGGAGGAUCCGAGCGUUAUCCGGAUUUAUUGGGUUUAAAGGGAGCGUAGAUGGGUUGUUAAGUCAGUUGUGAAAGUUUGCGGCUCAACCGUAAAAUUGCAAUUGAUACUGGCAGUCGUGAGUACAGUUGAGGUAGGCGGAAUUCGUGGUGUAGCGGUGAAAUGCUUAGAUAGCACGAAGAACCCCGAGUGCGAAGGCAGCUUACUAAACUGUGACUGACAUUGAUGCUCGAAAGUGUGGGUAUCAAACAGGAUUAGAUACCCUAGUAGUC
rnacentral:rRNA from 1 species